CUUGAAACCAAUGACGAUAUAGUGUAGGCUUAUUAGUAUAUAGGACAAUAUUAGAUCAGUAUAAAGGAACUUUAUUAGCGUUUAAGUCCCAAGAGCUGAGCUAUACAUCUAUAUAACGCACAUGCAACAAAAUGGAUCAACAGAUUUUAGUAAAUCAGAUAGUAUCCAUCAAUCAAGGUAAAACAAUCAAGGAAAUCGUAACAGAUACCAAGAUGGAGAACAACAGAACGAUGAAAGAUCAGGAUUGUGGUUUUGAAGUAGGCGAUGAGGAAGGGCAGGAAUUACAGUCUGAAAAGGAAAUACCGGAGCAGAAGCUAAAACAGAUAACGGAAAAAUUAAGUGCUCUUCAAUAUGUUGAUUCUGACUCAUUUAAAACCAAUGAUCACAACAGUCAAAAUGAAUCCAUCAUGGACGGUAAGGUUGACCAAUCAUUCCAAGUAAACAGAGACCAGGUCAACAAUAACAUCACAUUAAAUAGAGAAUUAAUCUCAAGUGACAAGGACACGAAGAUAUGCCCAAUACCAACAGAGACGGAUAGCAAUAUAAUUAAAGAUGUGGAUAGCAAAACAGCUGUGGAUAACAAGCCAAUUGAAGAGGAAGUGGCGUCUAACCAAUCUUCACAUGAUAACAAUUUAAAAACAGUAUAUUCAAAAGAUAAAGUGGAAGAAGAAGAAACUAUAGAAGCGAUUAUACCUGUUGAUCACCAAAGAGGGUUGAUACCUAAAGAUGAUAGAUGGAAACUGCAAAGACACACGGAUUAUCUUGUAAAUGAACUUGAUGCCAUAGAACUUAUAAAUAAACUGUAUUCCCAGUUUGUUUUCGACGACGAUGAAUAUGAAUCAUUAUUGAAUAGAUUAGAGACCAAAGGAAGAUACAAAUGUGUUAUGAAUAUGUUGAUUAUUUUACGCAGAAAAGGACCACAUGCAUACAUUCAAUUCCUGGUGGCUCUAGAACGAUGUGGCUAUACCUGGAUUAUAAAGACUUUAUAACCUGAAUGUGGUAUCUAUAAAGGAAAGAUCAAGUACAGUGGACAGAAGUUUUAUGAAUUAAUAGACAACACCAGUCCUAAAUAUAAAGAAUUUGUAAAAAGAUGUGAAAAUAAUAUUGAACAGGUUUACCAGGACAAACCAGGACAACAAUUUGUGGUUGUAAAGAAAUUAGAGAAAGGAUGUGUUGAAGUAACUUUUCAUCUCAUAUCACUCGGUUCAAAUGAUGAGGAGGGAUUGCGAAGCUGUCUUCAAGAUGUCGUACAAAGUGGUUUCAUUGAUUCUGAUCCAGUUAAAUCUGACGCAUUUACAUUUCAUCGUAUCACAGAUGGGGAAUUCAGCAAUGAAAGACAAUCGAUGAAAGAAAAACGGGUAAAAGACCUUGAGAAUGAAAUACGAACCUUGAAAUUAGAAAUCAUUGACCUAAAGGUAGAAAAUGGUGCAUUGAAAUCUGAGUCGGUUCAUUCUACGGAAAUUCAGACAUUCAAAGAACACGAAGCUAACAAAUAUAAAGAAAAACUUCAAGAACUGGAAUCAGAGAAAGAACUGGUUAUUUGGAACUUACGAGAACAACUGGACCACCAGAAACAAGAUAACGACAAAUUACAAGCAGACCUGGACAGAUUACAACAAAACCUUACCAGAUUAAAAGUUAAAGUCAAAUUACAGCGGAGUCGGGGCAGACCACAUUCUGACUGUGUAACACGUUUACCAGAUACAGUCAAAUUACAACAAGGCCUGGGUAGAUCACAUUCUGACUGUACAACACGUUUACAAGAUAAAGUCAAAUUACAACAGAGUCUGGGCCUUUUACUGCCUGAUCGUGAAACACUUCUACGUGUACAGGGCCUCGACAAAUUACAGUCUGACAAUGAUACAUAUACAAGAAAAUUAACCAAAUCACAGCUUUACUAUGACAAACGUCAACAUGGUCGAUCCUGUAUAAUUAGUUGAAGAGAUUAAAAAGGCUUACAUUGACACAUUUGGACGAUGGGUGACACCCAAUGUCGUGUAAUUAAUAGUUAUGACGUAAUGUAACACUAGUGUAACUAAUUUACUAACUUUUGACCUCGAAUAAAGUAUUACGCUCAAAGGGGAGAUAAUUACAGCUUUAUUUUUAUUCAAUGAAGAGUCUCGAGACAACACUAGUGUUACCUGAAACAAAUUCAAUCAUGGCUUCCGCUUAUCCUGCUUCGAUAAUUCCUUGGCUUAUUUCUAAAGAAUUGGUCUGUUUGUGUGAAUAUUGAAAGACUUUUUCAAAUUGAAUAACCAAAUUACAUAAUUGAUCUAUGGACAUUUAUUUCAUCUCAUUACACCUGUA